AUGGUGCUGCUGAUGCAAAGUGUUUCUCUAUGGAAAUGUUCUGACUCCAACAGGGACUUGAAUCUCUAUGAUUAUUCAGAGAGCCGUGUCUCUCUACAGUCAGAGGUUUUUGUACGACGACUCAACCAGUUUGUAUCACUGUGGUUGACUUUUGGUGGAGGAACCAGACUGGAUGUUGGAAGUGAUGCUCGUCCCACCCUGACGGUGCUGCCCCCCUCCACAGAGGAGCUGCAGCAGGGGAAGGCCACACUCAUGUGUCUGGCCAACAAGGGCUUCCCCUCAGACUGGAGUCUGUCCUGGAAGGUGGACGGCAGCAGCAGCAGCAGCUAUGAGGACAGCAGGAGCCCCGGGGUGCUGCAGAAGGACGGCCACUACAGCUGGAGCAGCACCCUGAGGCUCUCUGCAGACCAGUGGAGGAAGGUGGGCUCUGUGACCUGUGAGGCCACCCAGGGCUCCCAGUCUCCACUCUCAGAGACACUGAGGAGAGACCAGUGUUCCCAGUACUGACCUGAUUUACUGGAACUCUCACAAGUUUUCUCUCUGUCACUGAUCUCUGACUCUUUAUUUUAUUUCUUCCAUUUUCUCUAAGCUUUUUUUCUAGUUAGUUUCUCUGUUCAUCUGUGUUUCUUCACAAUAAAGAAUUUUUUUUGUCAAACAGA